CUCCUACGGGAGGCAGCAGUGGGGAAUAUUGGACAAUGGGGGCAACCCUGAUCCAGCAAUGCCGCGUGUGUGAAGAAGGCCUUAGGGUUGUAAAGCACUUUAGGCUGGGAAGAAGGUGAGUAGUUUAAGAGAUGAUUCACUUGACUGUACCGGCAGAAUAAGCACCGGCUAACUCUGUGCCAGCAGCCGCGGUAAUACAGAGGGUGCGAGCGUUAAUCGGAAUUACUGGGCGUAAAGGGCGCGUAGGUGGUUGCGUAAGAUUGAUGUGAAAUCCCUGGGCUUAACCUAGGAACUGCAUCGAUGACUGCGUAGCUAGAGUACUGUAGAGGGUAGUGGAAUUUCCGGUGUAGCGGUGAAAUGCGUAGAGAUCGGAAGGAACACCAGUGGCGAAGGCGACUACCUGGACAGAUACUGACACUGAGGCGCGAGAGCGUGGGGAGCAAACAGGAUUAGAUACCCUGGUAGUCCACGCUGUAAGCGAUGAAGACUAGAUGUUGGGCAGCAUGACUGUUUAGUAUCGAAGCUAACGCGAUAA
rnacentral:rRNA from 1 species